rnacentral:rRNA from 1 species
CCUACGGGUGGCAGCAGUGAGGAAUAUUGGUCAAUGGGCGCGAGCCUGAACCAGCCAAGCAGCGUGAAGGAUGACUGUCCUACGGAUCGUAAACCUCUUUUAUCAGGGAACAAAGUCUGGCACGCGUCCCCUGAUGAAUGUACCUUAUGAAUAAGGAUCGGCUAACUCCGUGCCAGCAGCCGCGGUAAUACGGAGGAUCCGAGCGUUAUCCGGAUUUAUUGGGUUUAAAGGGUGCGCAGGCGGGUUGUUAAGUCAGCUGUCAAAGGCCGGGGCUCAACCGUGGACCCGCAGUUGAUACUGGCAGUCUCGAGUGGGAGAGAAGUAGGCGGAAUGCGUGGUGUAGCGGUGAAAUGCAUAGAUAUCGGGAAGAACACCGAUGGCGAAGGCAGCAGGCUGGACGGAAACUGACGGUGAGGCACGAAAGCGUGGGGAGCGAACAGGAUUAGAUACCCGGGUAGUC